rnacentral:rRNA from 1 species
CCUACGGGUGGCUGCAGUGGGGAAUUUUGGACAAUGGGGGCAACCCUGAUCCAGCCAUUCCGCGUGAGUGAAGAAGGCCUUCGGGUUGUAAAGCUCUUUUGUCCGGAGCGAAACGGGCGGCCCUAAUACGGUCGUCUACUGACGGUACCGGAAGAAUAAGCACCGGCUAACUACGUGCCAGCAGCCGCGGUAAUACGUAGGGUGCGAGCGUUAAGUGGAAUGACUGGGCGCGGUGCGUGAGGAGACGGGUGAAAUCCCGGGGCUCAACCUGGGAAUGGCAUUUGGGACUGCAAGGCUGGAGUGUGGCAGAGGGGACUAGAAUUCCUGGUGUAGCAGUGAAAUGCGUAGAUAUCAGGAGGAAUACCGAUGGCGAAGGCAGGUCCCUGGGUUAACACUGACGCUCAUGCACGAAAGCGUGGGGAGCAAACAGGAUUAGAUACCCUGGUAGUC